rnacentral:rRNA from 1 species
AUUGAACGCUGGCGGCAGGCCUAACACAUGCAAGUCGAGCGGAUGGGUGGAGCUUGCUCCAUGAUUCAGCGGCGGACGGGUGAGUAAUGCCUAGGAAUCUGCCUGGUAGUGGGGGACAACGUUUCGAAAGGAACGCUAAUACCGCAUACGUCCUACGGGAGAAAGUGGGGGAUCUUCGGACCUCACGCUAUCAGAUGAGCCUAGGUCGGAUUAGCUAGUUGGUGAGGUAAAGGCUCACCAAGGCGACGAUCCGUAACUGGUCUGAGAGGAUGAUCAGUCAACCUGGACCUAGACACGGUUCAGAACCCUAACGGAAGCAGGCAGUGGGAAUAAUGGAACAAGGGGCAAAACCCUGUCCCAGCCAUGCGGGGUUUGUAAAGAAGGUCUUGGAUUUGUAAAGCCCUUUAGGUUGGGAGAAGGGGAAGUAAUUUAAUACCUGGUUGUUUUGACGUUCCAAACGGAAUAAGCACCGGCUACUUCGUG